GGAAGGGUUGGUUCUUGUCCUCGGUUCCUCCCUUCUCUAUCUGCUUCCUGGCUGCCAUAGGGUGAGCUGCUUUUCCUCUACCAUGCUGUUUCUGCCAAUCAACUGUGUUCCAAACCCUCUGAAACUAUGAGCCAGAAUAACCUCCCCUUCUUUAAUUUGCAGGUGUUGGAUAUUUUCUCCCAGCAGUGGGAAAGUGAAGAUGAAAUUAAGUGCCCUCCAUCUGCCAACGUGUUGUUUUAUUACCUCUGGAAGCUUCAAGGCCAAGAGACCACCAUACAGUUAGUUAGAGCUUAAAGAGAAUGCAGCUCAUGAAGAUAUUAGUAUCUGCCUACUCUCAAGAAAGGAAACUGCCACCUCCAAUAUUUAAUGAUUUGAUGUACAGUAGCUAUCACUUCUGCCUUCAUCACUGAACCCUUCAACUGACUACACAAAUGACUAUAAAGAUUAUAGAUUGUUAACUCUUUAAGAAAUGACUGCUGAAAUCAUUUAUCUCAAGCAUCUCUGUGGCCAACGUGAAACCGAAGCCUAGAAUGCCUACAUGACUUUUGCAGGGACACAUGGUAAGUGGCAGAAUCAGGGCCUCAGUUCCACAUUUUGUGGAUGAAUCAGGGCGAAUAUUUUUGAAAGUCUGGUAACAGUAUGGCACAGUCACCAAUUAACCAGAAUAUGGCCUGUGAUUGCAUUGGUGUGCCACCAGGUACCACCCCCUACUGGAUUAGCAUGUAUAGCUCAGUACAUUUUAAGGGAUAAAGACAAAAAAAGGGUCCCUUAUAAUUAAGUGAUCUGAAGAAGCUAAUAAAAUAAUUUGUUCUUCGUUGUUAGGUUUACUUUUUCACUUUUUUCUAUUGUCUUCGUUGCCACUAAUCCUUUGAAAGCUGUCUUCUAUUUGACGGUGGGUUCGUUGUUAUUCAUGCUAAUCUCCCCUGCUGUCCCUUAUGUUCUCCUGGCUGGUCAAAAUUCUCAGGCCCUCCCCACUUUGUAUCCCCUUGCCCACCUUCUGUGUUAAGCCUUGAUCUUGUUUGUAAAAGUAACGUGGUAUGUAUGCCUAUAAUUAUGCUUUAGCUCAUGCUACACAAAGUGGAGGGAUUAAAAAUAUAUAUAUAUUUAAGGCCUUGGUUUUUAUAUGGAUUUUUUUCAAAACCUAUGAUAACUCUUGUCUUCUUUCAAACUCAUGAG
rnacentral:lncRNA from 1 species